rnacentral:rRNA from 1 species
AUUAAACGCUGGCGGCAUGCCUUACACAUGCAAGUCGAACGGCAGCACGGGAGCUUGCUCCUGGUGGCGAGUGGCGGACGGGUGAGUAAUACAUCGGAACGUGCCCUGGAGUGGGGGAUAACGCAGCGAAAGCUACGCUAAUACCGCAUAUUCUGUGAGCAGGAAAGCAGGGGAUCGCAAGACCUUGCGCUCUAGGAGCGGCCGAUGUCGGAUUAGCUAGUUGGUGGGUAAAGGCCACCAAGGCGACGAUCCGUAGCGGGUCUGAGAGGAUGAUCCGCCACACUGGGACUGAGACACGGCCCAGACUCCUACGGGAGGCAGCAGUGGGGAAUUUUGGACAAUGGGCGCAAGCCUGAUCCAGCCAUGCCGCGUGAGUGAAGAAGGCCUUCGGGUUGU